AUUGGAAACGAUCGUUAAUACCGCAUAACAUAAUUGAACCGCAUGAUUUGAUUAUCAAAGAUUUAUCGCUGAAAGAUGAGCUCGCGUCUGAUUAGCUAGUUGGUAAGGUAACGGCUUACCAAGGCGACGAUCAGUAGCCGGACUGAGAGGUUGAUCGGCCACAUUGGGACUGAGACACGGCCCAGACUCCUACGGGAGGCAGCAGUGGGGAAUAUUGCACAAUGGAGGAAACUCUGAUGCAGCGAUGCCGCGUGAGGGAAGAAGGUUUUAGGAUUGUAAACCUCUGUCUUCAGGGACGAAAAAAGACGGUACCUGAGGAGGAAGCUCCGGCUAACUACGUGCCAGCAGCCGCGGUAAUACGUAGGGAGCGAGCGUUGUCCGGAAUUACUGGGUGUAAAGGGAGCGUAGGCGGGAUCGCAAGUCAGAUGUGAAAACUAUGGGCUUAACCCAUAAACUGCAUUUGAAACUGUGGUUCUUGAGUGAAGUAGAGGUAAGCGGAAUUCCUAGUGUAGCGGUGAAAUGCGUAGAUAUUAGGAGGAACAUCAGUGGCGAAGGCGGCUUACUGGGCUUUAACUGACGCUGAGGCUCGAAAGCGUGGGGAGCAAACAGGAUUAGAUACCCUGGUAGUCCACGCCGUAAACGAUGAUUACUAGGUGUGGGGGGACUGACCCCUUCCGUGCCGCAGCAAACGCAAUAAGUAAUCCACCUGGGGAGUACGACCGCAAGGUUGAAACUCAAAGGAAUUGACGGGGGCCCGCACAAGCAGUGGAGUAUGUGGAUUAAUUCGAAGCAACGCGAAGAACCUUACCAGGUCUUGACAUCGUAUGCAUAGCUCAGAGAUGAGUGAAAUCUCUUCGGAGACAUAUAGACAGGUGGUGCAUGGUUGUCGUCAGCUCGUGUCGUGAGAUGUUGGGUUAGGUCCCGCAACGAGCGCAACCCUUACUGUUAGUUGCUACGCAAGAGCACUCUAGCAGGACUGCCGUUGACAAAACGGAGGAAGGUGGGGAUGACGUCAAAUCAUCAUGCCCCUUAUGACCUGGGCCUCACACGUACUACAAUGGCUGUCAACAGAGGGAAGCAAAGCCGCGAGGUGGAGCGAACCCCUAAAAGCAGUCUUAGUUCGGAUUGUAGGCUGCAACCCGCCUACAUGAAGUCGGAAUUGCUAGUAAUCGCAGAUCAGCAUGCUGCGGUGAAUACGUUCCCGGGCCUUGUACACACCGCCCGUCACGCCAUGGGAGUCGGUAACACCCGAAGCCUGUAGUCUAACCGCAAGGAGGACGCAGUCGAAGGUGGGAUUGAUGACUGGGGUGAAGUCGUAACAAGGUA
rnacentral:rRNA from 1 species